rnacentral:rRNA from 1 species
AGCGAACGCUGGCGGCAGGCCUAACACAUGCAAGUCGAACGAACUCUUCGGAGUUAGUGGCGGACGGGUGAGUAACACGUGGGAACGUGCCUUUUGGUUCGGAAUAACUCAGGGAAACUUGUGCUAAUACCGAAUGUGCCCUUCGGGGGAAAGAUUUAUCGCCAUUAGAGCGGCCCGCGUCUGAUUAGCUAGUUGGCGAGGUAACGGCUCACCAAGGCGACGAUCAGUAGCUGGUCUGAGAGGAUGACCAGCCACACUGGGACUGAGGCACGGCCCAGACUCCUACGGGAGGCAGCAGUGGGGAAUCUUGCGCAAUGGGCGAAAGCCUGACGCAGCCAUGCCGCGUGAAUGAUGAAGGUCUUAGGAUUGUAAAAUUCUUUCACCGGGGACGAUAAUGACGGUACCCGGAGAAGAAGCCCCGGCUAACUUCGUG